rnacentral:rRNA from 1 species
CCUACGGGCGGCUGCAGUGGGGAAUAUUGCACAAUGGGGGAAACCCUGAUGCAGCGACGCCGCGUGAGUGAAGAAGUAUCUCGGUACGUAAAGCUCUAUUAGCAGGGAAGAAAAUGACGGUACCUGACUAUGAAGCCCCGGCUAACGACGUGCCAGCAGCCGCGGGCAUACGGAGGGGGCAAGCGUUAUCCGGAUUUACUGGGUGUAAAGGGAGCGUAGGCGGCAGUACAAGUCUGGAGUGAAAUCCCGGGGCUUAACCCCGGAGCUGCUUUGGAAACUGGGCGGCUGGAGUGCAGGAGGGGUAAGCGGAAUUCCUGGUGUAGCGGUGAAAUGCGUAGAUAUUAGGAGGAACACCGGUGGCGAAGGCGGCUUACUGGACUGUAACUGACGUUGAGGCUCGAAAGCGUGGGGAGCAAACAGGAUUAGAUACCCUGGUAGUC